CCUACGGGAGGCAGCAGUGGGGAAUAUUGGGCAAUGGGCGCAAGCCUGACCCAGCAACGCCGCGUGAAGGAAGAAGGCUUUCGGGUUGUAAACUUCUUUUCUCAGGGACGAAGCAAGUGACGGUACCUGCGGAAUAAGCCACGGGUAACUACGUGCCAGCAGCCGCGGGAAUACGUAGGUGGCAAGCGUUAUCCGGAUUUACGGGGUGUAAGGGGCGUGUAGGCGGGACUGGAAGUCAGAUGUGAAAACCAUGGGCUCAACCUAUGGCCUGCAUUUGAAACUGUAGUUCUUGAGUACUGGGGAGGCAGACGGAAUUCCUAGUGUAGCGGUGAAAUGCGUAGAUAUUACAAAGAACACCGGUUGCGAAGGCAGUCUGCUGGACAGCGACUGACGCUGAGGCGCGAAAGCGUGGGGAGCAAACAGGAUUAGAUACCCGAGUAGUC
rnacentral:rRNA from 1 species